UACAGAGGGUGCAAGCGUUGUUCGGAAUUACUGGGCGUAAAGGGGAGGUAGGUGGUCUUGUGCGUCUGUGGUGAAAGCCCUGAGCUUAACUCAGGAAGUGCCUCGGAUACGGCAAGACUAGAGUACUGGAGAGGGUGGUGGAAUUCCCGGUGUAGCGGUGAAAUGCGUAGAGAUCGGGAGGAACACCAGAGGCGAAGGCGGCCACCUGGACAGUCACUGACACUCAACUCCGAAAGCGUGGGGAGCAAACAGG
rnacentral:rRNA from 1 species